UUCUAAAGCAGAAAUAUACUAAAGGCACCAGAUCUCGUGCGAUUUUGGAAGUUAAGCACGGUUAUCUGUAAUUACUACUUAGAUGGGAAACUGCCAAUGAAUACCAAGUGCUAUAAGCU
rnacentral:rRNA from 11 species